GAUAGGUGGGAGAAAGGACGGACGUUUAACUGACUCUGCGCGAGCUCGUCGGGGGCGGCUUGGUGCCUUUCGCUGGAGAGAAAUGGGAGUUUAUUUUUAAAUCUUUCCAGUGACGAAUAUCAGAAUCUGGAACAACUUUAACCAUCAUGGCUGAAAGUUCAAGCAGGGGAGAAGUUCCAGUUGCUUUAAAAAAAAAUGAAAAUGGACACAGGAACAUGGCUUGAUCGAUAAAGGAUGUGAAAUGAAGGAUCUCAGAUACAUUUCACUUGGAAUCUGAAAACGUGAGGAAAAUGGCUGAUUCUUUAUGAAAGAAUAGUAACAAUUCUCCAGAUAAAGAACAUUUGUUAUCCUGUUAUUGCAGCCUUUGGCGUUCCCAGUAAGGCAAUGUUCAAUCUUCAUGAGCAGUGAAUGUCCUGGUGUUCAUGUAACAGAUUUCAGGAAUAUUCCUCAUUGCAGAGUCGCUUAUCCACCAGAAGGAAUUGGGGAAUAUAGACCAUUUACUGAGCAGCUUCUCCAGGAUGAGUAUCAGCAAAGAAUAUCAAGUCUUAAGAUGUUAAUGUAAUGUUUGUGACUUAACCGAACAUUUUACUGGAAUCUACACACAUUCAACAAUUAUCUAAAAGUUAUAUGUAAUAUAUAGGAAUGUCUCAAGUAAAGUUUGUUGGAAGGGUACCAACAUUAAAUCUUCAAAGUUACUUCUU